CCUACGGGUGGCAGCAGUGAGGAAUAUUGGUCAAUGGCCGGAAGGCUGAACCAGCCAUGCCGCGUGAAGGUCAGUGCCCUAUGGGCGUUACACUUCUUUUGUGCGGGAGCAAUAAGGUCCACGUGUGGACCGACGAGAGUACCGUACGAAUAAGCAUCGGCUAACUCCGUGCCAGCAGCCGCGGUAAUACGGGGGAUGCAAGCGUUAUCCGGAUUUAGUGGGUUGAAAGGGUGCGUAGGCUGUAAGGUAAGUCAGCGGUGAAAUGCCCCCGCUCAACGGGGUGAAGUGCCAUUGAUACUGCCUGGCUGGAAUGCGGAUGCCGUGGGAGGAAUGUGUGGUGUAGCGGUGAAAUGCAUAGAUAUCACACAGAACACCGAUUGCGAAGGCAUCUCACGAAUCCGCGAUUGACGCUGAUGCACGAAAGCGUGGGUAUCAAACAGGAUUAGAUACCCGAGUAGUC
rnacentral:rRNA from 1 species